rnacentral:rRNA from 1 species
CCUACGGGGGGCUGCAGUAGGGAAUAUUGGACAAUGGGCGAAAGCCUGAUCCAGCCAUGCCGCGUGAUAGAUGAAGGCCCUCUGGGUUGUAAAUAUCUUUUAUCUGGGAAGAAACAAUCUUAUUCUUAAGAUCUUGACGGUACCAGAGGAAUAAGCACCGGCUAACUCCGUGCCAGCAGCCGCGGUAAUACGGAGGGUGCAAGCGUUAUCCGGAUUCACGGGGGCGUAGGCGUGCUGAGGCGUCAGUAGAGAAAGCUCCGGGCGUAACUUGGAAACUGCAAUUGAUACUGCCAGUCUUGAAUGUCGUAGAGGUAAGCGGAAUGUUGCAUGUAGCGGUGAAAUGCUUAGAUAUGUUACAGAACACCAAUUGCGAAGGCAGCUUACUAUGCGAUGAUUGACGCUGAGGCACGAAAGCGUGGGGAGCAAACAGGAUUAGAUACCCCAGUAGUC